GGGAUUGCCUCAGUACGGCGAGUGAAGCGGCAAAAGCUCAAAUUUGAAAUCUGGCUCUUUCGGGGUCCGAGUUGUAAUUUGCAGAGAGUGUUUCGGGCGAGGCCGCGGUUUAAGUCCAUUGGAACAUGGUGUCAUAGAGGGUGAGAAUCCCGUAUGCGACCGUGGUCCGAGCCCAUGUGAAGCCUCUUCGACGAGUCGAGUUGUUUGGGAAUGCAGCUCUAAAUGGGUGGUAAAUUUCAUCUAAAGCUAAAUACUGGCUGGAGACCGAUAGCGCACAAGUAGAGUGAUCGAAAGAUGAAAAGCACUUUGAAAAGAGAGUUAAAAAGUACGUGAAAUUGUUGAAAGGGAAGCGCUUGCGACCAGACCUGCCCGUAGGUGAUCAGCCUCUGUUCUCAGGGGUGCACUCGCUCUACRAUCAGGCCAGCAUCGGUUUGGGCGGUCGGAUAAAGGCCUUGGGAAUGUAGCUUCCUUUCGGGGGAGUCUUAUAGCCCUCGGUGCAAUGCGGCCAGCCGGGACCGAGGACCGCGCUUCGGCUAGGAUGCUGGCGUAAUGGUUGCAAGCGACCCGUCUUGAAACACGGACCAAGGAGUCUAACAUCUAUGCGAGUGUUUGGGUGUCAAACCCAUACGCGGAAUGAAAGUGAACGGAGGUGAGAACCCUUAAGGGUGCAUCAUCGACCGAUCCAGAUGUCUUCGGAUGGAUUUGAGUAUGAGCAUAGCUGUUGGGACCCGAAAGAUGGUGAACUAUGCCUGAAUAGGG
rnacentral:rRNA from 1 species